GACGAACGCUGGCGGCAUGCCUAAUACAUGCAAGUCGAGCGAACAGAUGAAGUGCUUGCACUUCUGACGUUAGCGGCGAACGGGUGAGUAACACGUAAGGAAUCUACCUAUAAGCGGGGGAUAACAUUCGGAAACGGGUGCUAAUACCGCGUAAUAUCUUCUUCCGCAUGGAAGAAGAUUGAAAGACGGCUCUGCUGUCACUUAUAGAUGACCUUGCGGUGCAUUAGUUAGUCGGUGGGGUAACGGCCUACCAAGACGAUGAUGCAUAGCCGACCUGAGAGGGUGAUCGGCCACAUUGGGACUGAGACACGGCCCAAACUCCUACGGGAGGCAGCAGUAGGGAAUCUUCCGCAAUGGGCGAAAGCCUGACGGAGCAAUGCCGCGUGAGUGAAGAAGGCCUUCGGGUCGUAAAACUCUGUUAUAAGAGAAGAACAAAUUGUAGAGUAACUGCUACAGUCUUGACGGUAUCUUAUCAGAAAGCCACGGCUAACUACGUGCCAGCCGCCGCAGUAA
rnacentral:rRNA from 1 species